rnacentral:rRNA from 1 species
AGGAUGAACGCUAGCGACAGGCUAACACAUGCAAGUCGAGGGGCAGCAUAAAAGUAGCAAUACUUAGGUGGCGACCGGCGCACGGGUGAGUAACGCGUAUGCAACCUACCGUAUCAGAGGGGAAUAACCCGGCGAAAGUCGGACUAAUACCGCAUAAAACAGGGACACCGCAUGGUGAUAUUUGUUAAAGAAAUUCGCUGAUAGAUGGGCAUGCGUUCCAUUAGGUAGUUGGUGAGGUAACGGCUCACCAAGCCGACGAUGGAUAGGGGAACUGAGAGGUUGGUCCCCCACACUGGUACUGAGACACGGACCAGACUCCUACGGGAGGCAGCAGUGAGGAAUAUUGGUCAAUGGGCGAGAGCCUGAACCAGCCAAGUCGCGUGAAGGAAGAAGGAUCUAUGGUUCGUAAACUUCUUUUGCAGGGGAAUAAAGUGCAGGACGUGUCCUGUUUUGUAUGUACCCUGAGAAUAAGGAUCGGCUAACUCCGUGCCAGCAGCCGC